UACGUAGGGUGCAAGCGUUAAUCGGAAUUACUGGGCGUAAAGCGUGCGCAGGCGGUUUUGUAAGUCUGACGUGAAAUCCCCGGGCUCAACCUGGGAAUUGCGUUGGAGACUGCAAGGCUAGAAUCUGGCAGAGGGGGGUAGAAUUCCACGUGUAGCAGUGAAAUGCGUAGAGAUGUGGAGGAACACCGAUGGCGAAGGCAGCCCCCUGGGUCAAGAUUGACGCUCACGCACGAAAGCGUGGGGAGCAAACAGG
rnacentral:rRNA from 1 species